rnacentral:rRNA from 1 species
CCUACGGGAGACAGCAGUGAGGAAUAUUGGUCAAUGGGCGGGAGCCUGAACCAGCCAAGCCGCGUGAGGGAAGAAGGUACAGCGUAUCGUAAACCUCUUUUGUCAGGGAACAAAGGAGGGGACUAGUCCCCGGAUGAGGGUACCUGAAGAAAAAGCAUCGGCUAACUCCGUGCCAGCAGCCGCGGUAAUACGGAGGAUGCGAGCGUUAUCCGGAUUGAUUGGGUUUAAAGGGUGCGCAGGCGGCCUGUCAAGUCAGCGGUAAAAGCGCGGGGCUCAACCCCGGCGAGCCGUUGAAAAUGGCGGGCUGGAGUUGGAGAGAAGUACGCGGAAUGCGCGGUGUAGCGGUGAAAUGCUUAGAUAUCGCGCAGAACCCCGAUUGCGAAGGCAGCGUACCGGCUCCACACUGACGCUGAGGCACGAAAGCGUGGGUAUCGAACAGGAUUAGAUACCCCUGUAGUC